UGAGGCCGUGGCUUAGCCUGGUUAUAGCACCGCUCUGAUAAGGCGGAGGUCCCAAGUUCAAAUCUUGGCGGCCUCAU
rnacentral:tRNA from 1 species